AAUCCUGGCUCAGGAUGAACGCUAGCUACAGGCUUAACACAUGCAAGUCGAGGGGCAGCAUGAACUUAGCUUGCUAAGUUUGAUGGCGACCGGCGCACGGGUGAGUAACACGUAUCCAACCUGCCGAUGACUCGGGGGAUAGCCUUUCGAAAGAAAGAUUAAUACCCGAUGGCAUAGUUCUUCCGCAUGGUAGAACUAUUAAAGAAUUUCGGUCAUCGAUGGGGAUGCGUUCCAUUAGGUUGUUGGG
rnacentral:rRNA from 1 species